rnacentral:rRNA from 1 species
AUUGAACGCUGGCGGAAUGCUUUACACAUGCAAGUCGAACGGCAGCACGGGGGCAGCCCUGGUGGCGAGUGGCGAACGGGUGAGUAAUACAUCGGAACGUGCCCGGUCGUGGGGGAUAACGUAGCGAAAGUUACGCUAAUACCGCAUACGAUCUGAGGAUGAAAGCGGGGGACCUUCGGGCCUCGCGCGAUCGGAGCGGCCGAUGUCAGAUUAGGUAGUUGGUGGGGUAAAGGCCUACCAAGCCGACGAUCUGUAGCUGGUCUGAGAGGACGACCAGCCACACUGGGACUGAGACACGGCCCAGACUCCUACGGGAGGCAGCAGUGGGGAAUUUUGGACAAUGGGCGCAAGCCUGAUCCAGCCAUUCCGCGUGCAGGACGAAGGCCUUCGGGUUGUAAACUGCUUUUGUACGGAACGAAAAGGCUCUGGCUAAUACCUGGGGCUCAUGACGGUACCGAAAGAAUAAGCACCGGCUAACUACGU